UGGUAAUGCCGGAUGUUCCAGUUGAUCGCAUGGUCUUCUGGGAAAGCUUUCGCGGUAUGGGAUGGGGUCGCGUCCUAUCAGCUUGACGGCGGGGUAACGGCCCACCGUGGCUUCGACGGGUAGCCGGCCUGAGAGGGCGACCGGCCACAUUGGGACUGAGAUACGGCCCAGACUCCUACGGGAGGCAGCAGUGGGGAAUAUUGCACAAUGGGCGCAAGCCUGAUGCAGCGACGCCGCGUGAGGGAUGGAGGCCUUCGGGUUGUAAACCUCUUUUAUCGGGGAGCAAGCGAGAGUGAGUUUACCCGUUGAAUAAGCACCGGCUAACUACGUGCCAGCAGCCGCGGUAAUACGUAGGGUGCAAGCGUUAUCCGGAAUUAUUGGGCGUAAAGGGCUCGUAGGCGGUUCGUCGCGUCCGGUGUGAAAGUCCAUCGCUUAACGGUGGAUCCGCGCCGGGUACGGGCGGGCUUGAGUGCGGUAGGGGAGACUGGAAUUCCCGGUGUAACGGUGGAAUGUGUAGAUAUCG
rnacentral:rRNA from 1 species